AAAUCUUAACCUCCGACAUUUAGAUCAAUAAUGGCUGCUGCUGCAAGUUCACGUGAUAUUCCUGAAGAGAUUGGCGAGAAAUUUCUGCCGUAUUAUGUGACUUUAAGACAAAGAAGGAAUGCGAGAAAGUUUUGUAAGGAGUCAUACAUUAAUAGUGUCAGGAAGGAUUUUCCGACAUUCGAACACGGAAUUAGUUGUGAAAGCGUCAAUAUUCAGGAGUCAAAAAAAAGACUGAAGAAGGAUACACGACGACGAUCACUGUGGAAGCUGAAAAAAGUCAUCAGUGAUGCUUUUUGUAAAUGUAUAGCUGGUACAUCCGGUGAAUGUGCACAUGUCCUUGCAUUGGUCAUGAAAUUGGCUGAUUGGCUGACAGAGGGACUUCAAGAUGUACCCAUGCAACCGGCAUGUACAACACUUCCGCAGCAGUGGGAUAGACCACGUGGCCCAUAAAUCCUGCCAGAACCAGUAUCAACAAUGGUAAUUGCAAAGCCGGGAAAUGCAGCGAGGAAAAAGAGACCUCUGACAGCUGUAUUUAACGACAACAGGAAGAUUCAACUCCUUGAUAGGGAUGUCAGAUUUUUACAAUCACUGAAAGACUGUCCAUUGUCAUAUCUUGUACCUAUACCUGAACAGACAAUACAGACCACCUCUGAUAAGCAGUUUCUUGGAUCAACACUUGCACACCAGGUUUGUAAACUGCCUAGUCCUGUAUUAAAUAAGGCAUGAAGCCAGUAAGAAAGCAGCAACAAAACCAUAUCUGAUUAACACAAGGAAACAAUGAUAGACCUAUUCUGUUGUCAACAAUUGUAAAUUUUUUAACUCCUGAUAUUGCGCGUUCAACAUGAACUCUGUGUGUUGCAAUUUGUUUGGUAAGUUUCACAUCACCGGCUGACAUUUGUCCAGAACCAGGUGCAAAGGGCGGUAUGAAUAAUUUCAGACCAAGUGCCUCAAUUUCCUCACGAAUUAAAAAUCCCUUGUCAACCAUUACUCCAUCACCAGGUUUAAGCUUACCACAUUCUAACAGCUUUUUCAGAACUGACAGCAAGCCACUUUGUUUUGUUAUCUCCUUGUCGGAUAUAGAUCCAGAAAAUAGCAUAGAUAUAAAAUUGAAAGAGCCUCUUGGGUCAAUUCCUACCAGACCUUUUAGUGUUGUUGCAGAUUUGUAAUCUGAGUAGCACUGGCUUUGACUUCUAAGUGAACUGGGUCGUUCCACCUUUAAUUCUGUCCCAUCUAAGAUUAUGAAUGUUGUGGGAAAGUCAGACUUGAAUUUUGCCGGCAUGUGUUGAAUAAGAACUUCCCUAUCAGGCCAUAUAGGCACGGAACCAAAUUUGUAGAACAUAUAGUUCAUCCAUGCGCGGAAAAUUGCACCUGCAUCUUGUGGUGAAAUUUCAAACAGAUUUGCAAUAUGCUUGAACUCAAAGUUCAAACGUAGUUUUACAAGUGCAAGUACCAGCUGAUCAUGUAAUCUUAUUUUGCGCACACUAGUUACUGUCUUAGGAAAUGUAAGAGGGCUGUCUCCAGGGAAUGGCACCAAGAAUUUAAAAAUGUUCACGAACUGGUCAUAGGUAAACCCAGUGUAAUACUUGAAAUUUUCUCUUACUGGACUGUCACGUACAGAUUCCACAGUGAGGCCAUACUUCUUUGGUUCUUGUUUUUCUGAUUGACGUUUGACUGAUAGUUUGGCCUGAGAUACUUCUUGUUGCAGACUUUCGGUUUUCAAUACAUAUUCAGUCACUGAUUUCUCCUUCAUAACAAUUUCAUGUUUCAGGUCUGCCAUUUGUCUCUUCAGUUCCAUGUUUUCUGAAGCAAGUGCCAGCAUAUCCAGUGGUGAUACCUGUGAUUCUGAAAAAUUAAUAUGCAUUUUAUAUUUUAUUUUAUAUAUAUUCAUAAUGUUCAUAUUACAUUAACAAUAUUAACACCAAUUUAUACUUUUCAUUUUUCAGUUACCACUGAUGCAGCCAGUAGAUGUGCAGAGAUGUAAGACAGACUGUGGAGACCUGGUGUUGCCUAGAAACCCAGAUGUUGAUAUUCAAAACUGUGUGAAAAAUGAUGUUGGUAAAUGGACUACCUUGUCAGUUAACCAAGGUGAAGUAGAGGCAAUAGAACUGAACACUAGAGAUCAGAGUAAGUCAAAUGCUUGGCACAUGGAAAGGUCAUCUAGAAUAACUGCUUCAACAUUUGGUAGCUUCGUGGUGCGAAAAGCUGCACUUAUAGAGAAAUUUGUCAGAAAUACAGUGAUGCCAACAUCUUUUCAGUCUGCACCAACAACUUACGGUAUAAACAGUAAGAAGGUAGCUAUAAACAUGGAUAGAAAGAAGACAGGUAAUCACGUACACGAGUGUGGAUUUGUAGUAAAUCCCCUUUUCCCAUUUAUUGGUGCUACCCCAGAUGGGAAGGUAUGCGAAAAUGGGCAGGCAGGAAUUCUAGAGGUGAAAUGCCCCUUUUCCAUAAGGGACUGGAGCAUAAAAGAUGCUUAAAAAACUAUGAGAAAAAGGAGAACUUGUUUCUUGAAGAAAGUGGUGACAGUAUAAUUUUGAGCCGGACACAUAAACAUUGGUAUCAAGUCCAAGGGCAGCUGUUGGUAACUGGUGCAAAUUUUUGUGACUUUGUUACUUUUACAAAGAAUGACUUGAAUGUAGAAAGAAUAUAUCCUGAUAAAGCAGCCAUGAGGUCAAUUCUAUUGAAAAUGCAUUCUGUUUUUGUAGAAUAUGUAACCAAGUUUUGAACUUACGGGCUGUGCAGUCAUUUUGUGAGUGUUCAGAUUUCAGCUGGUAGUUUUCAUCAAUGCUGCAAAUAUAAAUGAAUACUUAGCUACUGUGAUAUGAUUUGAAAGCAUACAUUAAACUACAAAAAACAUACACAUUUUUAUAUUAACAAAUGGUAUGAAAUGUUGUGCUUAGGUUAGAUACUAUACAGCUGUCAGAAUUUUCGAAAGCAGAAAUGUUCAUAUUUAUCAUACUAGUACACUGUCGUGUAAUUUUGUUGAACUCUUACCCUGUUAUAUUUUUAAAAUGAACUUGAGUAUCUUCCAAUUUAGACAGAAACAUUAACUGUGAAAAAGGGUGCUUACCAAAAAGAUACUGACUGAAUAGCGAACAGUGCAGAUCAUGAUCAGACUGCACAGAUGUGCAGGAUGAUCAUGAUCUGCACUGGUCUCAAAGGCAAUUCCAAUCAUUUCCAGCAUGGUAAGGGUUAAGACUGACUAGUUCUAUAAAUUACUUACUCUGUUGAUAAUUCAGAUAAGAUUUUACGACGCUUCUUGGGCGGCUCAGACAUAUGUCUAGGUUUUGGUGGAGCCCUGCAAGGAGUGAACUUGGCACUUGUUAGCGCACCUUUGUCUGCCAUGUAUGGAUCGGGAUAUUGUUCCGAUGGUCCACCUUCUGGAAAGUGCUGUAAAAUUCAACAGAUACAUAAUUUAUAUAUUUCUUUCUUUUUCUAGUUUUCACACAACAAACAAAAAUUUUCUUGUUUGACAAUAUCUUGUAAAUGGAAUAUUAUGUUCAUGUACACUGACAAUUUGCAUUGAAAUCAAGUAAUAAUUUCA